GUUUGAUUACAUUUUCUUGUAGCUAUUAAUUAUAAAACCUGAACAACAACUGUAUAUACCUGUAUUCCUUGAAAGCAGUGGAGCGUGACUGAAAGCAGACAGAAACCUAAGGUGAGUUUACCUUUGAAAGAUGGCAGCAGCAAUAGAUUAGAAUUGUGAGUUUGUGAUUUUUCUUUCUUGAAGGUGCUUCCCAAACCUAGAAUUCCUGUGGCAUAUACAACACCCUUACUGGCUCAAGGUGGCAGAGAAUCUGGACCAUUAGGGAUGGAAGACUCAAAAGUAAGAGAAUCCCAGAAGGGAUGGGCCUCCAAAUCUGAAUAUAUAUUCUGCCGAAAAAUUCCGGCUGAUCACUAUACUACACACAAAUAGGAGAGACCCUGGGGCCCAGUUAAAAAAAAUAGGCAGAAACAAUAAGAUAGUGGUCCACUAAAUGAAAGAAAUGAGCUGGGUGAUGUUUGUGAAUUUGCUACGAUUUAGACUGAAGGAAUUCCUUAAUCCAUCACAAUUCAAGUGGAGGAAAUCUGAAAAAGUAUUAGCUUAUCAGAGAAUAAGCUCUGGAUUGGAAGAUGGAAAUUCAUGAGGAUGUCCUGGGAACAAGAGAACCACUGAGAGGGUUUGCUCCAAAGGCAAAGACACAAAGGGGGACUGUGACACAGGUGGCUAAAACUCUGAGAGAAACCUCACUGGUCUUACCACAAAGAGAGGGAAAAGGGCUUCUGCAGGUCAGAGAGUGUGGGGGAAUACCAGAGUGGAGAUGGUUAAAGAAGAUGUUCUACUAAUUUCUGUGUUUGAGGCCCCACAAAUAAUAGAUUCACUCUUGAGCUGCACAUGCAGAGGCCAAACCCAAGGUAGCAUAGAAAAAGCUUUGAGAACUACACUAUAUUUAAACCACUACAUAAAUUUCAGAAAAAUCCCUGAGUAGUACAAGUAUGGUACAGAUACAAGGCUGCAUAGCACAGACUUUGAUAAUUGAACUAUGAACUUAGAUUAAAACCACAGUCUUGGACUAUCUCCUAAGUGGUACAUGUGUGAAAGAAACCAAACAUAGCCUAGUAAAGUCUUUGAAAACUGAACGAGAUGUAGACUAUCACCCACAGAACGCAAGGCAGAACUCACAAACUAAACUUAACUAAGUUGAUUACCUGAUAAAACAAAUGAAAAAAAAAAUCAACAUUCUCCAGAGCCCAGAAUCUACACAGCAAAAUAUUCAAAAUGCCCUAGAUAAAAUCCAGCAUUAGUACUUAGAAAGAAAAAGGAAAAUGUCACCAAUUCUCAAGGGAAAUGACAAUCAACAAAUGUCAACUGCGAAAGCCCAGAUGUUUGAAGUGUCAGCCAAAGAGUUUAAAUCAACUAUUAUAACUCUGUUUCAUGAGGUAAAGGAAAACACGUUCGAAAUGAAUGGAAAGAUAGAUGUUCUCAGCAGAGAAAUUAGAAAAUAUUAAAAUAACCUAUUUGAAAUUUUAGAAAUAAAAAAUGCAAUUACCAAAAUAAAAAAUUAUCUGGGCGAUCUCAAUAGCAGAACAGAGAUGACAAAGGAGUCAGUGAACUUGAAGGGAGGCUAAUAGAAAUCAUCCAAUAUGAGAAACAGUAAGAAAAAUGGCUGGAACAAAUAGCCUUAUUGGAUAAUAGGAUAAGGUUUCACAUACAGAGCACUGUAGUUCCAAAAAGAGAAGAGAAAGAGAUUCGUGCAGAAAAAAAUUUUUUUGAAGAAAUAGCGCUCAGAAACUUCCAAAAUCUGAUAGACUACAUCAAUGUACAGAAUCAAUAUGCUCAGAAAACAUAAAACAGAAAGAUUAAAGAGAAUCAUGCCUAGACAUAUCAUAAUCAAACUGCU
rnacentral:lncRNA from 1 species